AUUCAACCGCCGGUCAGCUUGUCCUGCGUGGUGCUCGUAUGAUGCCUGGUGCUCCCAGUGUUGGAAGGAUGACGGGUAAAUCGAGGUAUGCCUGCAGUCAGGGCAGGCUUUCCAAGAGCUGGUUCCCCAGGAUUGCUGAGGAUGGAAUCGGCAGUGCACAUGCUACUCAAAAGUGUGCAAAGAGUGCCAAAUGCUGUAAAUGUCCAUUCUGGAGCCAUGUCUCCCGCUGGAAAUUCUAUGAUGAGGCCACGCGAUCCUAUGCAGAUGUUUCGUCAGCAUAUGGUGAAGCCGGAGCUCCACUUGCAGGUUUCACAGGGAAAUAGUCAAGCUGCCUAUUUCAGCAGCAUGAAUCCAUCAUUCUCCAAGGCUGCAGCUCCUUCACCUCUUCAGCAAACCCGAAGGAACCAGCCAUCCAAGCACACAGCAGCAGCCAUAUGCUACAAUGCCUAUGCACCUGGCUAAGGAGAGACAAUUUCAACACCGUUUGGUGUCUCAAGAUAACAACAAUCUUCCUGUAACAGGUGUGGUACCCGGUGUGCAGAACGGAUCGCACAUUCAGCAGCAGAAUCAAGCAUCUCCGGUCACUUCAACUCCUUCUUCGGCUUCACUGCAUCAGAAGCAGCAGUCUGCGCAAAGUCCACCAGAUAGCUGUGCACUUGCCAAUCAAUCUGCCAAUGCUACAGAACCUAAGCAGAAGAAACGGCAGGGUCAACAGCAGCGUAGACAAAACAAACAACAGAGGAAUCAAGCUAUUCAACAGAGCUAGGCUUAUCAAGAGUUUAGGACCAGGAAUCAAGCUAGGCUUAUGAAGAGCUAGGUUGAUACCUCAGGCUCCUGCAGCCGGCGCCUCUCCAACCAGUGCUGUUCCUACGGCUUCCAAGAAACAAUUUCCUGACAAAAAAUUCGACGCAACAUGGCCAUGGUAAUAAAGCGUCGAUUUCAGCAACGCCUCAGCCUGGGAUUCAACAUAAGCUAUAUACCUCGGUUGAUAAGCCUUGUCAGGUUGAGGUUUAUGUGAACGAUCGAACAACUAACACUGAAUUCAGAGAUGAAAAGUAGCGCUCAAAGAGGGGAAAUUAAUUGCUGGGGUUUUAGCGACUUGCAGAUGCGCAUGUAGAGGCCAGCCGGAACACGGUGGCUAGGGUUUCAACCCAGUACAGGAAUUGAUGCCUCUCGAGGCCCGGGGUCUUGGCUCUUAUAGCCAUCACAUCACCACUAAAGCAGUAAAGCAUAAAGAAGGGUGCAAGCUGCAAUGGGAAUUUAAAUUGCGACGCGCGGAUUAGUCUUGGCCGUUCGAUCGCAGAUCAAUGUCGACAGCAUCGUCUUCUCGGCGCGAAACGGCAAGUGUUGAUGGAUGGCGGAUGGACGGCUGAGGAAUGCUGCGAUAACUGAACAGUCCGUCAGAAAACUGAAUAAAACGACACUUGACAUCUUCAGAGUGGAGGGGUGCCAAAUGAGGUGGCAGAUAUCGAUAACCGUGGCUUGAUGCAGGUUCCUCCUGCAGGUCACACCGUUUCUUGCUUCACAACCGCCCCCACUCCAUUCCAAGUUCCCGGCGGCGACUGCGCAUCCCCGGCAGAUCAAUCCAGCACAGAACAGCAUCGAGAGAAUGACGAUGCAACCUCUAAGGAUGGACGCACAAGUUGACCAAGUGCAGCACACCCAGGUGAUACCAGCUACACCUAUAUCUCCUACAGUAGUACAGAUGCAGGCAGUCCUGUGCACGGCCAAGAGGUCGGCAGUUGGUGGCACAGCUGUCUAGGCCGCAUCUGCAGCCUGCAUCAUUAGCAGCAGCAGAGAGCAGUUGUUCCAGGCAGGACGUAUGCUCCCCCAAAUGUUUCCAGGCAGAACUUAAAAACCGCACCAAAGCUAGCAGCUCAUUGUUCUCUGAAGUUUGAGUUGUUUCCUGUGGGGAACAUAAAGUAGCUUGUCGUGGUAACCAAGAUAAUCAUGCGAUAAGUCUCUGCAUGUCUGAAAACAAUGCAACAGAGAACUUGUUUAUGAGCUUUGCAGACUUGUAGCGAUUGGCUGCUCCAGUUUUUUGUAUAUAAAAUAGUUCUCUGUUAUGUCAAGGUUAUGUUUAUUGCUA